rnacentral:rRNA from 1 species
AUGAACGCUGGCGGCGUGCCUAAUACCUGCAAGUCGAGCGAACAGACGAGGAGCUUGCUCCUCUGACGUUAGCGGCGGACGGGUGAGUAACACGUGGAUAACCUACCUAUAAGACUGGGAUAACUUCGGGAAACCGGAGCUAAUACCGGAUAAUAUAUUGAACCGCAUGGUUCAAUAGUGAAAGACGGUUUCGCUGUCACUUAUAGAUGGAUCCGCGCCGCAUUAGCUAGUUGGUAAGGUAACGGCUUACCAAGGCAACGAUGCGUAGCCGACCUGAGAGGGUGCUCGGCCACACUGGAACUGAGACACGGUCCAGACUCCUACGGGAGGCAGCAGUAGGGAAUCUUCCGCAAUGGGCGAAAGCCUGACGGAGCAACGCCGCGUGAGUGAUGAAGGUCUUCGGAUCGUAAAACUCUGUUAUUAGGGAAGAACAAAUGUGUAAGUAACUAUGCACGUCUUGACGGUACCUAAUCAGAAAGCCACGGCUAACUACGUG